rnacentral:rRNA from 1 species
UACGUAGGGGGCAAGCGUUGUCCGGAUUUAUUGGGCGUAAAGAGCGUGUAGGCGGCCAGGUAGGUCCGUUGUGAAAACUCGAGGCUCAACCUCGAGACGUCGGCGGAAACCCUCUGGCUAGAGUCCGGAAGAGGAGAAUGGAAUUCCCGGUGUAGCGGUGAAAUGCGCAGAUAUCGGGAGGAACACCGGUGGCGAAGGCGGUUCUCUGGGCCUGACCUGACGCUGAGGAGCGAAAGCGUGGGGAGCGAACAGG